UACGAAGGGGGCUAGCGUUGCUCGGAUUUACUGGGCGUAAAGGGCGCGUAGGCGGACAGUUAAGUUGGGGGUGAAAGCCCGGGGCUCAACCUCGGAAUUGCCUUCAAUACUGGCUGUCUUGAGUGCGGGAGAGGUGUGUGGAAUUCCGCGUGUAGCAGUGAAAUGCGUAGAUAUUCGCAAGAACACCAGUGGCGAAGGCGGCUCACUGGCCCGGUACUGACGCUGAGGUGGCGAAAGCGGUGGGGAGCAAACAGG
rnacentral:rRNA from 1 species